GACGAACGCUGGCGGCAGGCCUAACACAUGCAAGUCGAACGAGUGGCGGACGGGUGAGUAAUGUCUGGGAAACUGCCUGAUGGAGGGGGAUAACUACUGGAAACGGUAGCUAAUACCGCAUACCAUCAGAUGUGCCCAGAUGGGAUUAGCUUGUUGGUGGGGUAACGGCUCACCAAGGCGACGAUCCCUAGCUGGUCUGAGAGGAUGACCGGCCACACUGGAACGAAGACACGGUCCAGACUCCUACGGGAGGCAGCAGUGGUGAAUAUUGCACAAUGGGGGCAAGCCGGAUGCAGCCAUGCCGCGUGUAUGAAGAAGGCCUUCGGGUUGUAAAGUACUUUCAGCGGGGAGGCGUGACCCGCAGAAGAAGCACCGGCUACCUCCGUGCCAGCCGCCGCGGUAAUA
rnacentral:rRNA from 1 species